rnacentral:rRNA from 1 species
GAUCAUGGCUCAGGAUGAACGCUAGCUACAGGCUUAACACAUGCAAGUCGAGGGGAAACGAUAGAGAAAGCUUGCUUUUUCUAGGCGUCGACCGGCGCACGGGUGAGUAACGCGUAUCCAACCUGCCCACCACUUGGGGAUAACCUUGCGAAAGUAAGACUAAUACCCAAUGACGUCUCUAGAAGGCAUCUGAAAGGGAUUAAAGAUUCAUCGGUGAUGGAUGGGGAUGCGUCUGAUUAGCUUGUUGGCGGGGUAACGGCCCACCAAGGCAACGAUCAGUAGGGGUUCUGAGAGGAAGGUCCCCCACAUUGGAACUGAGACACGGUCCAAACUCCUACGGGAGGCAGCAGUGAGGAAUAUUGGUCAAUGGGCGAGAGCCUGAACCAGCCAAGUAGCGUGCAGGAUGACGGCCCUAUGGGUUGUAAACUGCUUUUAUAAGGGAAUAAAGUGAGCCUCGUGAGACUUUUUGCAUGUACCUUAUGAAUAAGGACCGGCUAAUUCCGUG